UGUUUAAUGGCCGCGGUAUUUUAACCGUGCAAAGGUAGCAUAAUAAUUAGCCUAUUAAUUGUAGGCUUGUAUGAAUGGUUGGACGAAAUAAUUACUGUCUCAUUUAUUUUAUUAUAAUUUAAUUUUUUAGUUAAAAAGCUUAAAUUAUUUUGUAGGACGAGAAGACCCUAUAGAUCUUUAUUGUUUUUAUUCUUUUAUUAUUUAGUUUAAAUUUUAUUUUUUGGUAUAAUUUAUUAUUUUGUUGGGGUGACAUGGAGAUAUUUUUAUAACUCUUUAUUUUUUUUUUCAUUUAUUUAUGUUUAUUUGACCUUUUAUUAAUGUUAUAAGAUUAAGAUACCUUAGGGAUAACAGCGUUAUUUUUCUUGAGAGUUCAUAUCGACAGGGAAGAUUGCGACCUCGAUGUUGGAUUAAGAUUAUUAUCAGGUGUAGUGGCUUGAUUAUUAGGUCUGUUCGACCUUUAAAUUCUUACAUGAUCUGAGUU
rnacentral:rRNA from 1 species